rnacentral:lncRNA from 1 species
UGUGUCUGAGCUCUGACUCUCCUUGUGUGGGUCUUUCUGUGGCUGUUGUGGGGGAUAGGGGUGAGAUGCCCAGGUUAAUGGAGUUGUGUACAUAGGAGGAUUAUGCUGCCUCUGCUGAGUCAUGCAGGUUGUCAGGGAAGUGGGGGAAAGCCGGCAGUCAUAGGCCUCACCCAGCUCCCAUGCAAACCAAAGAGCAGUUCUCAUGGAGCCUGUUUCCAGGUGGUGGGCAAGAUGGGCUUGAAAACUUGCCUCAGGCUACCUGCCUCUCAACUAUGGAAAAAAAGGGCUUGGUUCUUCCCCUGCCUGUGGAGUCUGCACAACAGAUUUGUGCCCUCCCAUGAGUUCUGGCCAGGAGGCUUCUCGCCCUGUUCAAAUUGUUACAAAGUUCAACUAUAGAUUUCUUUCUUCCUGUGGAGUUUCAACACCUGCUCCUCUGGCCACCCUCACAAUGGAUCCCUGUGGUGCCAAGCAGGAAUGGCCUGUUUGGGCACCCAGUGAGCUCCCAGGGCCUUUCUACUGCUUCCUCAAACCCUGUAUUUUGCUCAGCUCUCUAAAUGGAUUCAACUCCAGAGAAGACUAUCAAGUAGUUAGGAAAGAAAGUCAGUGAGAUGUCUCAGGCGUGACUCAGCUACGGAAACAAUAGCAAUCAGAGGACAUUUGGAGAUGAAGAAAAAAAAGAAACAAACUUCAAUACAAUGAGAAAUAUACCAGUACAUAGACCUGGAACCAAACCCAGAACUUCACUUCCCUGUGCCAGAAGGAUUCCAGUGAGCUUUUCCCACAGGCCCUACAGUCUUCUCCAGGUGAACCUCGGUCACUAUCUAUAUUUAUUAAUGGUUUCUGUCCUGUAAAUAUCUUCUAUAAUA